GAUGAACGCUGGCGGCGUGCCUAAUACAUGCAAGUCGAGCGAACGGACGAGAAGCUUGCUUCUCUGAUGUUAGCGGCGGACGGGUGAGUAACACGUGGAUAACCUACCUAUAAGACUGGGAUAACUUCGGGAAACCGGAGCUAAUACCGGAUAAUAUUUUGAACCGCAUGGUUCAAAAGUGAUAGACGGUCUUGCUGUCACUUAUAGAUGGAUCCGCGCGGCAUUAGCUAGUUGGUAAGGUAACGGCUUACCAAGGCAACGAUGCAUAGCCGACCUGAGAUGGUGACCGGCCACCCUGGAAGUGAGCGUACGUCCAGACUCCUACGGGAGGGAACAGUAGGGAAUCUGCAGCAAUGCGCGCAGACCUGACGCAGCCACGGGGCGUGAAGCAGGAGGUGCCUCGGAUCGUAAAACACUGUUAUUCGGGACGACCAUAUGUGUACGUGCCUGUGCACAUCUUGACGGUACCUAAUCAGAAAGCCACGGCUAACUUCGUG
rnacentral:rRNA from 1 species